AGGGUUAUCAAACUUCGGGCAUCUGGGGGAACCCCCCUGGAAUCUGGCUGGCAGCCAGAAGGUCAUCGGUUCGAGUCCGUUAUCCUCCA
rnacentral:tRNA from 1 species